rfam:Triticum aestivum genome assembly, contig: Triticum_aestivum_CS42_TGACv1_scaffold_081344_1DS
CUUCUACUCCCUCCGUUCCGAAUUACUUGUCGCAGAAAUGGAUGUAUCUAGAACUAAAAAAUGUCUACAUACAUUCAUUUCCACGAUAAGUAAUUCCGAACGGAGGGAGUACUUA